GGGAGGAGGAAGCGGACGGAACGCUGAAGAAGAGACGGGGUAACCUCUUUCUCUCUUUAGCGUUCCGUCUGCUUCCUCCUCCCC
rnacentral:pre_miRNA from 1 species